GUUCAGUGUCAUUCAUUCAGACAGACAGACAGACAGACAGACAGACAGACAGACAGACAGACAGACAGACAGACAGACAGACAGACAGACAGACAGACAGACAGACAGACAGACAGACAGACAGACAGACAGACAGACAGACAGACGUUAUCUGUCAUACAAAGUACUGUAGUCUAUGUCAUGUUAUAACUCAUCCUGUUACUGUACUGUAGUCUAUAUCAUGUUAUAACUCAUCCUGUUACUGUAGUCUAUAUCAGGUUAUAACUCAUCCUGUCACUGUACUGUAGUCUAUAUCAUGUUAUAACUCAUCCUGUUACUGUAGUCUAUAUCAUGUUAUAACUCAUCCUGUCACUGUACUGUAGUCUAUAUCAUGUUAUAACUCAUCCUGUUACUGUAGUCUAUAUCAUGUUAUAACUCAUCCUGUCACUGUAGUCUUAUAUCAGGUUAUAACUCAUCCUGUCACUGUACUGUAGUCUAUAUCAUGUUAUAACUCAUCCUGUUACUGUAGUCUAUAUCAUGUUAUAACUCAUCCUGUCACUGUAGUCUUAUAUCAGGUUAUAACUCAUCCUGUCACUGUACUGUAGUCUAUAUCAUGUUAUAACUCAUCCUGGCUAUAUAGAGCUCUGUGGUUCAUAUUGACAUGACACUGUGCUGUGGGUGCUGGGGGCUAUAUAGAGCUCUGUGGUUCAUAUUGACAUGACACUGUGCUGUGGGUGCUGGGGGCUAUAUAGAGCUCUGUGGUUCAUAUUGACAUGACACUGUGCUGUGGGUGCUGGGGGCUAUAUAGAGCUCUGUGGUUCAUAUUGACAUGACACUGUGCUGUGGGUGCUGGGGGCUAUAUAGAGCUCUGUGGUUCAUAUUGACAUGUCACUGUGCUGUGGGUGCUGGGGGCUAUAUAGAGCUCUGUGGUUCAUAUUGACAUGUCACUGUGCUGUGGGUGCUGGGGGCUAUAUAGAGCUCUGUGGUUCAUAUUGACAUGACACUGUGCUGUAGGUGCUGGGGCUAUAUAGAGCUCUGUGGUUCAUAUUGACAUGACACUGUGCUGUGGGUGCUAGGGGCUAUAUAGAGCUCUGUGGUUCAUAUUGACAUGACACUGUGCUGUGGGUGCUAGGGGCUAUAUAGAGCUCUGUGGUUCAUAUUGACAUGACACUGUGCUGUGGGUGCUGGGGGCUAUAUAGAGCUCUGUGGUUCAUAUUGACAUGACACUGUGCUGUGGGUGCUGGGGGCUAUAUAGAGCUCUGUGGUUCAUAUUGACAUGACACUGUGCUGUGGGUGCUGGGGGCUAUAUAGAGCUCUGUGGUUCAUAUUGACAUGUCACUGUGCUGUGGGUGCUGGGGGCUAUAUAGAGCUCUGUGGUUCAUAUUGACAUGUCACUGUGCUGUGGGUGCUGGGGGCUAUAUAGAGCUCUGUGGUUCAUAUUGACAUGACACUGUGCUGUGGGUGCUAGGGGCUAUAUAGAGCUCUGUGGUUCAUAUUGACAUGACACUGUGCUGUGGGUGCUGGGGGCUAUAUAGAGCUCUGUGGUUCAUAUUGACAUGACACUGUGCUGUGGGUGCUGGGGGCUAUAUAGAGCUCUGUGGUUCAUAUUGACAUGUCACUGUGCUGUGGGUGCUAGGGGCUAUAUAGAGCUCUGUGGUUCAUAUUGACAUGACACUGUGCUGUGGGUGCUAGGGGCUAUAUAGAGCUCUGUGGUUCAUAUUGACAUGUCACUGUGCUGUGGGUGCUAGGGGCUAUAUAGAGCUCUGUGGUUCAUAUUGACAUGUCACUGUGCUGUGGGUGCUGGGGGCUAUAUAGAGCUCUGUGGUUCAUAUUGACAUGUCACUGUGCUGUGGGUGCUGGGGGCUAUAUAGAGCUCUGUGGUUCAUAUUGACAUGUCACUGUGCUGUGGGUGCUGGGGGCUAUAUAGAGCUCUGUGGUUCAUAUUGACAUGUCACUGUGCUGUGGGUGCUGGGGGCUAUAUAGAGCUCUGUGGUUCAUAUUGACAUGACACUGUGCUGUGGGUGCUGGGGCUAUAUAGAGCUCUGUGGUUCAUAUUGACAUGACACUGUGCUGUGGGUGCUGGGGGCUAUAUAGAGCUCUGUGGUUCAUAUUGACAUGUCACUGUGCUGUGGGUGCUGGGGGCUAUAUAGAGCUCUGUGGUUCAUAUUGACAUGUCACUGUGCUGUGGGUGCUGGGGGCUAUAUAGAGCUCUGUGGUUCAUAUUGACAUGACACUGUGCUGUGGGUGCUGGGGGCUAUAUAGAGCUCUGUGGUUCAUAUUGACAUGACACUGUGCUGUGGGUGCUGGGGGCUAUAUAGAGCUCUGUGGUUCAUAUUGACAUGACACUGUGCUGUGGGUGCUGGGGGCUAUAUAGAGCUCUGUGGUUCAUAUUGACAUGACACUGUGCUGUGGGUGCUGGGGGCUAUAUAGAGCUCUGUGGUUCAUAUUGACAUGUCACUGUGCUGUGGGUGCUGGGGGCUAUAUAGAGCUCUGUGGUUCAUAUUGACAUGACACUGUGCUGUGGGUGCUGGGGGCUAUAUAGAGCUCUGUGGUUCAUAUUGACAUGACACUGUGCUGUGGGUGCUGGGGGCUAUAUAGAGCUCUGUGGUUCAUAUUGACAUGACACUGUGCUGUGGGUGCUGGGGGCUAUAUAGAGCUCUGUGGUUCAUAUUGACAUGACACUGUGCUGUGGGUGCUGGGGGCUAUAUAGAGCUCUGUGGUUCAUAUUGACAUGACACUGUGCUGUGGGUGCUGGGGGCUAUAUAGAGCUCUGUGGUUCAUAUUGACAUGACACUGUGCUGUGGGUGCUGGGGGCUAUAUAGAGCUCUGUGGUUCAUAUUGACAUGACACUGUGCUGUGGGUGCUGGGGGCUAUAUAGAGCUCUGUGGUUCAUAUUGACAUGACACUGUGCUGUGGGUGCUGGGGGCUAUAUAGAGCUCUGUGGUUCAUAUUGACAUGACACUGUGCUGUGGGUGCUGGGGGCUAUAUAGAGCUCUGUGGUUCAUAUUGACAUGACACUGUGCUGUGGGUGCUGGGGGCUAUAUAGAGCUCUGUGGUUCAUAUUGACAUGACACUGUGCUGUGGGUGCUGGGGGCUAUAUAGAGCUCUGUGGUUCAUAUUGACAUGACACUGUGCUGUAGGUGCUAGGGGCUAUAUAGAGCUCUGUGGUUCAUAUUGACAUGACACUGUCUAGUGGACCUGUUGAAGCGUGUUGUCUGGAUCAUAACCGCUGACAUCUUUAGGUUUUAUUCCCUCUGGGUCUUUCUCUUUCGUUCUCUUCCACUCCUCUCCUCUCUCUCCUGU